rnacentral:rRNA from 1 species
CCUACGGGAGGCAGCAGUAGGGAAUCUUCGGCAAUGGACGGAAGUCUGACCGAGCAACGCCGCGUGAGUGAGGAAGGCCUUCGGGUCGUAAAGCUCUGUUGCCAGGGAAGAAUCCCUUCAUGUUAACUGCAUGGAGGUUGACGGUACCUGAGAAGAAAGCCCCGGCUAACUACGUGCCAGCAGCCGCGGUAAU